GCCUCUCCGGGACCCCCAGGAGCGCACUGACAGAGCUCUCCCCAGGCAGGGCAGGUCACGGCAGCAGCACACAGCCGAACAGACCUAGCACGGUUCACGGGGAUGAACCCUAACCUCAGGCUGAGUGAAGGAACAGCUGACGGAGGUGCUACGCAGUCAGAGAAGCCAAGUGAGGGUGUACGUGUUCUGCAGAUGUCGUCAGAACAGAGCACAGCCUUCAACACUGCUCCCCUGCAUCACCUCACAAAGGAUUCUUCUGUGUGCCUGGCUUGUUUUCCCAACGCUUGGCUUACAAAGGCCCUGGAAGAAAGCCGAGUGAAAGUGCCUGCUGACCUCUCCUGCCGACAGCCCCUGUUGCUCAUCUCAACUGCAUCUGAUAGAACACAGCACAUUCCUUUAAAUAUUUUAUCCACUCAGUGAUCAUGGGUGAAAGAUAGAACUAACAAGAAAUGACAAGUGAAAUAACUACAUUUCCGGACCUGACAACACUCUUUAUUUCUAAUUCUACCAAGGCUGUGGGCAGGCAUUAGGGUACAGCUUUUAUGAGAGAUUAAAUAAGUGAUCUUAGCAUUCAAGUUAUAGUACACACAUCCCGACCUGAGAGUUCACUCGGAAACAGGAGGAAGUGAAAGAAAACAGGUGAGGAAAUUGGGUGCUUCCUUACUUUGCACCAAAUGCUCUUUCUACCCCGUGACUUUGCUCUUGUAAAAAAGCAUUAUUUCCUUCAGAGACACCCGAACAAAGCAUAAAGAAACAGACUGGACUGACGACAGGAUAAGGUAUCCAACUCCACUAAAUGAGUUACAGCAAAAUCUCCCAGUAAAAUAUUUCCAGGAAGAGUUUUGUACGCUGUGUCGAAAAUACCAAACUGCAGUGGGUUGUAAAUAGUCCAAUGGAUGCUUCCACAGAAAGUUCUAAAAGGCCAUCGUAUCACACUGCACUGCUAUUAAUACAAUCUCCGCCAAAAUAUUGUUUCAAAUCCC
ensembl:lncRNA